CGUACAACUAAACGGUAUUAUUCCGAGUUACAAACUUGUAUUCGUUCAAUAUGCAGAAAAUCUAUUUUGUUUUUAUUGUAGUUAUCAUACUGGAAGCUUCAUUGGUCACUCGUGGCCUGCCGACACCAGAUGCUGUAAAUGUACUAGGUGUAAAUAGAGGCGAAGAAGAGACAAGU